CUGGAGGCACUGGGAGCAUCUGUUGCAGGCCUUUCUCUGGGUGCCUGGUGUCACUGGUCAUCCUUGGCACUUCUUUGCUGGCCAAGGAUGCAUCACUGUGACCCUCGUCUUUACAGGGCUUCACGCUGUGUCUGUCCACGCGCGGAUGUCGUCUUGUAAGGACACCAGCCACACCGAUGAGAGGCCAUCUUCCUCCACUUUGACCUCAUCUUAACUAAUUACAUCUGCAACUGUCCUAUUUCCAAAUAAGGUCACGUUCUAGGGUAGCGGAGAGUAGGACUUCAACACAGCUUUUUUUGAGGGAAGACGCAAUUCAACCCACAGCUCCCCCAAAUGCGUUAUUCACUCUGUUCUGUGCCCUGUGGCAUGACCCUGUGGCCUGCCCUCUUUGCUGUGCUCUGGUGCUUUAGCCUCGGUUAGAAUUCCUGCAGGAGUUUCCCAGGAGACCAGAAGGAACAAGCUCAAACUUCGUUGUAGUCUUUUCUGCAACUACCUUUGCUGAGAAGACGUGCUCUCCUCCCUCUCUGCCACAUGCCUGCUCACAGUACAGUUACUGGUUGGCUUGCUCCUUUUCGGCGCCGCAGCACGCACCCCACAACACGGUCAGCACAACCUUGUCCCUUGGCCCUGUGGGACUCGUGGCCUGGACCCAUUGUCUGCUCACUUUCUUGGAAUGUGGCCUCAGGCCCUGGCUUCCUGGGCCCUUUUCUAAAGAGGACCCUUCCUUCGUCCCUCUAAGAUCCUCCCCUCACACUCCAUGGCUUUGGGCUGUCUUAUCAGCUGGGGCUGCCAUAACAAAGAACCACAGACCAAGGGUUAAACAACAGGCAUUCAUUUUCUCACGGUUCUGGAGGCUGGAAGUGCAUGACCAAGGUGCUAGCAAAUGUGGUUUCUGACGCAGACAAAAGUUGAAGAACCCUGAGGCACUGCUCUAGCCACGGUGUAAAAGCAUUGAGCCAGCUCAUAUGGAAGACCCAGUCAAGUCACCAGUAUCUGCAUUUGUGCUUGUUAACGUUCGUGGCUCAGGAGGCCUACCUUCUGAUUAAGUGUUCUCAUGUAAAAUCAUCCAAAUACUCCCUAUUAAUUUUAUUUUGAUAUAUGGAUGAAUAAUAAAAGAUUAUAUCUCCAUGUC
rnacentral:lncRNA from 1 species